rnacentral:tRNA from 1 species
GCCCCGGUAGUGUAGGGGCUUAACCAUCAGCUACUAGCUGGUGGGGCCAAUCAUGUGGCCCUGUCGAGGCCAUGACCCGGGUUCGAAUCCCGGCCGGGGCG